rnacentral:RNase_P_RNA from 1 species
AGGAAAGUCUAGUCCCUUGCAAGUUAGCGCGUAGCGUUGCGAGCAUGAUAACGUUAGCGCUUAGGUAAGCGAGUGGGACUUGGGUUUUGUUCCUUUCGCAACGAGAACGAAAGCGUUCGCCCCUCCGAAGUUUGCUUGAGGAUAAGGUUAAAUAUAUUGAAUGCCGCUCAAUUUUAUCUAGAAAAAUUGCCGCGGGGCGGAUCAUUUCGCUCAACUGAACUUAGCUUACCGCU